CCUACGGGAGGCAGCAGUGAGGAAUAUUGGACAAUGGGCGCAAGCCUGAUCCAGCCAUGCCGCGUGCAGGAUGGCGGUCCUAUGGAUUGUAAACUGCUUUUAUACAGGAAGAAACCACUCUACGUGUAGAGUCUUGACGGUACUGUAAGAAUAAGGAUCGGCUAACUCCGUGCCAGCAGCCGCGGUAAUACGGAGGAUCCAAGCGUUAUCCGGAAUCAUUGGGUUUAAAGGGUCCGUAGGCGGUUUAGUAAGUCAGUGGUGAAAGCCCAUCGCUCAACGGUGGAACGGCCAUUGAUACUGCUAGACUUGAAUUAUUAGGAAGUAACUAGAAUAUGUAGUGUAGCGGUGAAAUGCUUAGAGAUUACAUGGAAUACCAAUUGCGAAGGCAGGUUACUACUAAUUGAUUGACGCUGAUGGACGAAAGCGUGGGUAGCGAACAGGAUUAGAUACCCUGGUAGUCCACGCCGUAAACGAUGGAUACUAGCUGUUGGGGGCAACUUCAGUGGCUAAGCGAAAGUGAUAAGUAUCCCACCUGGGGAGUACGAACGCAAGUUUGAAACUCAAAGGAAUUGACGG
rnacentral:rRNA from 1 species